UACGUAGGGUGCGAGCGUUGCCCGGAUUUAUUGGGCGUAAAGGGCGCGUAGGCGGCCACGCACGUCCGUUGUGAAAUCGCCCGGCUCAACUGGGCGGGGUCAGCGGAUACGGUGUGGCUAGAGCAAGCUAGGGGGCAAUGGAAUUCCCGGUGUAGUGGUGGAAUGCGUAGAUAUCGGGAGAACACCAGUAGCGAAGGCGGUUGCCUGGAGCUUUGCUGACGCUGAUGCGCGAAAGCGUGGGGAGCGAUCCGG
rnacentral:rRNA from 1 species